rnacentral:rRNA from 1 species
AUUGAACGCUGGCGGCGGGCCUAACACAUGCAAGUCGAACGAGUGGCGGACGGGUGCGUAAUGUCUGGGAAACUGCCUGAUGGAGGGGGAUAACUACUGGAAACGGUAGCUAAUACCGCAUACCAUCAGAUGUGCCCGGAUGGGGUUAGCUUGUUGGUGGGGUAACGGCUCACCAAGGCGACGAUCCCUAGCGGGCCUGAGAGGAUGCCCAGCCCGAAUGGAACUGAGACACGGGCCAGACUCCUACGGGAGGCAGCAGUGGGGAAUAUUGCACGAUGGGCGCAAGCCUGAUGCAGCAAUGCCGCGUGUAUGAAGAAGGCCUUCGGGUUGUAAAGUACUUUCAGCGGGGAGGCGUUACCCGCAGAAGAAGCACCGGCUAACUCCGUGCCAGCAGCCGCGGUAAUUC